rnacentral:lncRNA from 1 species
GUGGUGCACCUUUGCCUGUCCAAGAAGUUGAUGAUAUGGAUGAUGAAGCUUCGGAUGAUGAUAGUGUUUAUGUUAGGGAUGAUUGUGAAGGUUUAUUAGUGGUAGAUUGAUAGGUUGUAUGUUUGUGUGAUGGUUUGUAUGAAUGUGAUAAUGUUGUGUUAUGGGUUUUUAAAUAAUUAUAUAGUUUUUUGGAUUAUUAAUAA